AGGGGGAGUGUCCCCACAGGCCAGCUCCUUGCUCACCUUCUCACCCCGAGGCAUCCGGAGGCCUGACCCUGAGCCCCAGCACAGAGCCCAGCAGCACCGAGCACAGCUUUGCCCAGGAGCAGUACUGUCAUGGAGACCACACAGACACUUUAAAAAUUCAACAGAAAGAUCAUCUUUCUGGUAGAAACAAACAAACA